GAUCAUGGCUCAGGAUGAACGCUAGCGACGGGCCUAACACAUACAAGUCGAGGGGCAGCGAAGAGGUAGCAAUACCUUUGCCGGCGACCGGCGCACGGGUGAGUAACACGUAUGCAAUCCACCUGUAACAGGGGGAUAACCCGGAGAAAUCCGGACUAAUACCCCAUAAUAUGGGCGCUCCGCAUGGAGAGCCCAUUAAAGAGAGCAAUUUUGGUUACAGACGAGCAUGCGCUCCAUUAG
rnacentral:rRNA from 1 species